UACAGAGGUCCCAAGCGUUGUUCGGAUUCAUUGGGCGUAAAGGGUGCGUAGGCGGCGCGGUAAGUCGGGUGUGAAAUCUCGGGGCUUAACUCCGAAACUGCAUUCGAUACUGUCGUGCUUGAGGACUGGAGAGGAGACUGGAAUUUACGGUGUAGCGGUGAAAUGCGUAGAUAUCGUAAGGAAGACCAGUGGCGAAGGCGGGUCUCUGGACAGUUCCUGACGCUGAGGCACGAAGGUCAGGGGAGCAAACGGG
rnacentral:rRNA from 1 species